UACGGGGGGGGCAAGCGUUGUUCGGAAUUACUGGGCGUAAAGGGCUCGUAGGCGGUUUGUCGCGUCGGGAGUGAAAACCAGGUGCUUAACACCUGGCUUGCUUUCGAUACGGGCAGACUAGAGGUAUGCAGGGGAGAACGGAAUUCCUGGUGUAGCGGUGAAAUGCGCAGAUAUCAGGAGGAACACCGGUGGCGAAGGCGGUUCUCUGGGCAUGACCUGACGCUGAGGAGCGAAAGUGUGGGGAGCGAACAGG
rnacentral:rRNA from 1 species